rnacentral:rRNA from 1 species
UACGGGGGGGAGCAAGCGUUGUUCGGAUUUACUGGGCGUAAAGGGCGCGUAGGCGGUCAGCACAAGUCGGUUGUGAAAUCUCCGAGCUUAACUCGGAAAGGUCAACCGAAACUGUGCGACUAGAGUGCAGAAGGGGCAACUGGAAUUCUUGGUGUAGCGGUGAAAUGCGUAGAUAUCAAGAGGAACACCUGCGGCGAAGGCGGGUUGCUGGGCCGACACUGACGCUGAAGCGCGAAAGCCAGGGGAGCGAACGGG